rnacentral:rRNA from 1 species
UACGUAGGUGGCGAGCGUUGUCCGGAUUUACUGGGCGUAAAGAGCCCGCAGGCGGCCUGGCAAGUUUCAGGUGAAAUCUCCCGGCUCAACUGGGAGGGUGCUUGGAAAACUGCCAGGCUUGAGGCAGGGAGAGGGAUGCGGAAUUCCCGGUGUAGCGGUGAAAUGCGUAGAUAUCCGGAGGAACACCGGUGGCGAAGGCGGCUUCCUGGACCGACACUGACGCUGAGGCGCGAAAGCUAGGGGAGCAAACGGG